GUGCUCACUUUGGCAGCACAUAUACUGAAAUUGGAAUGAUACAGAGAAGAUUAGCAUAGAUCCUUCAUAAGGAUGAUUCCCAAAUCAGGAAGCAUUCCAUAUUUUA
ensembl:snRNA U6 U6 spliceosomal RNA